UCCGGGUGGCGGAAUUACUAAAUUACCUUCGCCAUUUUGACGUGUAGUUGGCCUCUGUCGUCAGUUUGCCCGCCGCCGCCGCCGCCUCCGCCUCCGCUGACCGCGAGCGAGCAGGGCGCCGUCGUUCGUCCUGUUGCUUCCGCGGUUCCGCCGCAUCCUGCCCAAGCUUGUUGGCACCAUGGAUGAAUCACGAAAAAGAGCCGCAUCUACUGCAAAUGCUAAAAGUUCAUCCCUUGGUGAAGAUUUUGGCAAUGAUUUUCUUUCAUCUUGGAAAUUACCAAAAUCAGGAAAUGACACGAUUGACUUUGACGUUGAGUCAGUUCCGAAGAAUAGCAAGAAAUUCAGCUUUGACAACCUGGAUGAUUUUGGGCUUGAUGGAGCCUUUGACAAAUUGUCGUCAUUUAAAAUGGGCAUGUCUGAUCUAGAUUUCUCUGGUCCUCUCAAGAAAAAGGUGAAGCCCAACAACUCAAAUGGCAACGAUCUUUCUGAAGGGAUAAAAGGGACUGAAAAGGACAACUUCUCCUUUUCCUUUGAUUUCAAUGAGCUGGGCAAGUUCAAUCUUGAUGCUAACUUGGGAAUUGAGGAGAAUGGUAUGAGUAAAUUUGUAGAAAAGGUCAACCCUGUCUCUUCAGAGGGUGACAAGGAUCCAAGAAAAGGUCUUUCAGUUAAGGGCUCUGAUGUUCUGGGAGGUAACAUUAGUAAGGAACAAAAGCAAACACAUGAUGCUUGUACUCUGAGGCCUACUCAUUUGGGAAGCUUUAGCCCUGCAAGAAUGGACCAAAAUAAAGUAGAUUUGCUCUCAACUGAUACACAUGAAGAGAAAUCUAAUGAGACACACCCAUCAAGAGCAGCUGUUAACAAGCCUUCUCAGAAUCUUCCUUGCAGUUCUACACCUGGUGAAGAUCCUACACACGUGACUACAACAGCAGUUGCUGAGAACUGUAGAGAAGCUCCUUUGGUGGAACUUAGUAAAGUUCAUAUAUCAAGGGGGAAUAAUGAUAGUGGGCAAUCAGUUAGUUCACAAUUCAUGAACACCAGCACCACGUGCCCCUCCAUCUCAAGAAAAUUGACGGCCCAAUCAGAUUCCCAAAAUGACCAGAAUGAGAUUGUGGGGGAAAGUGCAUGUCUUAAUGCACAAAGUCCUGAUAACCAAAGGUUUAGAGGAACUUCAAUGAAGCUUCUGAAGAAAACAUCAUGUGAAACAAAGAAGGCUGAAAAGGGGACUUCAGGUCCAAAGAGUCUCUCUUCAUCAAUGCAGAGGGAUAUGAGAAAUGUCAAACCCGCAUCAUUGAAUGAAGCAGGGAGUUUGUCUCUUCCGCCCCAGUCUUCAAUUGUUAAAGCAAGCAGGCCUCCUCAACUAACUUCUGAAACAACCUUAAAUCAAUUAAGUAGUGCCAAUAACAUGGUAAAAAAGAUGAAUACACAUUCUACUGAGUUGAAAAGGGAAAGCACACAAGCUAAUGCAAGAUCUGAAAGGCCUAAAAUUGCUUCGUCAAAAACAUUCUGCAAGCCAGCAUUACAUGAGCUGUUGACCACCUCCAUGAAUGCCAAAGAUCAUAAGAAUUCCAAACUUAGACUUGAGUCUCCUAGCACAGGCAAUGUUUCUACACUGAAUGCUCCUAGCAGCCCAGCACAUAGCAAUGGACAUAAGACCGUUGCGAGUCGGUCACUCUUGGGAAGUACCAAUGUUUUUGAUGCAGGAAAAGGCACUCCUAAAGCUGACAAUAGACCACUUUCUCAACUGAAAGCAGCAAAAAUUACUAAAGCAGGCACCAUAAGUUCAAAGUCUGACUUGCUUCUGGAGAAGGAUAUGAUGGAAACGAGCGGGAGGAAGGGUUCCCCUGUAACAACAUCCAAUAACCCAAAGUCCUAUGGUGAAGGAAAAUAUGUGUUGCCUAGCCCAUCCAUGAUGCAAAAGACUCCUAAGGAAUCAGCUUCAGAUCCAAAAGCUCCUGCUAUGCUGAAGCACAUCAUGAAAUCUCCAGCUGUGAGAACAUCACCAGAAACUGUUUCAGAGUUGGGAAAUAAAACAAUUCCAGGAAGUGGAACUCCAAAAGCACGCAUGGAUAAUGCCAUUGCUUCAGCAAUAUCAUGUGAGAUGGGGGAAAUUUCUGAACUAGAGUUGCCUGCGCUGUUAGAAAAUGAUGUAAAUGUACAAAAAGCUGAGGCUUGUAGAAAGGAGCUUGAAGAUAAAGGAAAAAAAGAGUUAUGCAUUUCGUUGAAAAGGAAACAUGAAGAAGCCAAAGAGCUAGCAGUGCGGGCUAUUGUUAACAACAAUACAAUGCUGAUGUUAAACCAUCCAAUGUUUGAGGAUAAAAUUUGUGCUCUUCAGAAAUUUGCUAGCAAUCUGAGAUCCAAGAAGGUUUUAUUCGAGGAUAUUAGUGCCAUUGAUGCUCAUUAAUGUGAGACUAAAAUGGAGUGACUGUGCUUCACCCAGGAAGAACACCGGUACUGUAAAUGCAAUUGGUAGGCGAUGUACCCGUCGACAGCAAGGCGUCUGUGUUGACUUUAUCAAUCUAUAGGAUGGAUUUGCCGGCCCAGUCUUCGAAGAUACUCAUAGGGGUAGAGUUUGCGUGCGUUCAUAGGGUGGAAGAUUUUAGGGCGUGCUGAAGAAGCUGACAGGAUGAUGGAUUUAGAAGAGAAGAUGAAGAUCGUUGCUGCUAAUACUGGAAGUAAUAGAUUGGGGAUAGGUUGAUUCCUUGUUUUUAGAGUUGUCUUGGUUGCCACAGUUCUGCCUGUCUUCUGUCUUGGUUUGUCUUGGUUGUGUGUUUCUUAUCUGAUGUCUGCUAUGUUUAGCAGCAGUCCCUACUGUCUCUUUUGUCUUAGAGUUGGUCUUAGAGGUGGUAGCUUGCUCGAGUCCUUUUGCACUUUGUUAGAGGUCUCGCCCUCCCUAUGUUGUAAACUAAUGUCUGGAUUUCCCAGCACAACCUUCGGGCUUUCAAUAGAAGCCAGGUCUCUGACCUUUUUCUAUUAAAAAAAA